UACGUUCCCGGGUCUUGUACACACCGCCCGUCACAUCACGAAAGUGAGUAACGUCCGAAGUCUGCCUUUUUGGCGGCCCACGAUGGGACUCAUGAUUGGGGUG
rnacentral:rRNA from 1 species